rnacentral:lncRNA from 1 species
GUUUGCAGAAUCCUUGAGCAAGAAAAUGGGAGAUUUCAACUUGAAGGACACCUCCAUAAAAGGUACAAUAAACAUUCACAUGCAAACAAGAGAGAGGACUUUCUUUAGCCAAAAGGUUACACAUAAGAAAUCUAGUAGGUAUUUGACUUGAAGAAUGCAGAAUGAUUCGGUAAUUUUAGAUACCUCUCUCAUAAAUUAGCUGAGCAAAGUCAUUAACUUAAAUCUUACUAUGGCAUGAUUAAAGUCUUUAAUUAUUAAUUUCUUGAUAUCAUGUCUAUAUAUGUAUUGAUUGACUUGUGCUUUUAGAAAUUGUUUCAUGGUUUGCCCAAACUAAAAUAUAUCUUUACCUAUGUCAUAACCAUGAACUACACAAGUUUAUACUUAGAAUUUUGAUUUAAAAUGACUUGUGAGAAGCUACGAAUUCUUGGGCAUAAUAAAAAUAGUGUUUGCAUGAUAUACCUCUAUACGAUACAUUUCAUUAUUUCUUUAUUCUGCUCUUUCAUGUAGAUUACUUGAGAAUAACAAAAAGAGAGAGAUAAAGAAAAGAAAAUGGACAUUGUUCAAGAGAUAAAAAAUCUGAGCAAAGGCAAGUACUUCAAUCUUAAGGAAAAGCAAAACAAGCAUAAUAUAUUCGGCACAUUUGGAAGGGAUAAAAUCUAUAAUUAAUUACACUCAAACAGGAAGAGUUUGAAGUAAACAUUUUAACCUUUCUAUAUUGCUCAUCAUAGGGAUGGUGCCAAUGGGGAGGCUAGUGGUAGUACCCGGCACUAUUUGACCCA